GGAAGGACCGUGGUCAGGCGGGACGGACACCAGGUCAUGGGGCUGCUGAGCCUCAGGGCCCACGCUCCGGCUGUUCAGGCCAGUGGUGGAAUGAACCUCAUCUCCCCCCACCCCUGCCAGUCUCUCUGUGGCUCUGCAUACGUGGGCAGCCUCCUGGAACCUCUAGAGCCAUGGGAAGUCAAAACGAACUACCAAGAUGGAAAAGAACCGAGGAAACGCUUCUCGGUCAUCCCUCCACAGAGAACUCGUUUUCCCAUUCUCAGAGGGCUGAGGGGGGCCAAAGUGGAGGCGAUAUGUUCCUGGAAGUGAUGAGAGGUUGCCCAGUCCACCGGGAGAGGCCAAAUUCUCAGCAAGAGAAUGAAGAGAUCUGAGUGAAGCAGAGAAGACGCCCAACAGCUCCGACAAAUCCUUACAGAAGAAUGCUGUUCCGACUGAUCAUAUUCUGGCUCUAAUGGCCAUCAACCAGGCGGCACCAGUGAAGUCUUUCAGUUUUUAUGAGAACAGUAGUACCACGAUUCCUUCUAACAGUACCGGUAAGGGUACCACUUGUAGUGUGGCACUUGUGUCAGUGGUACUGGUAAUGGUGGUGAUAUUGAUGAUAAUGGUGAUGAUGGUGAUGAUGGUGAUAGUGAAGAUGAUGAUGACCACUGACUCCACCAGUGGCUGUUUUAAGGGCUUUACGUAUGUUACCAUUUGAAUCCUAAUAAGAGGAUUUAGGUGUUUUGGUAUUAGCGCUCCCAGUUUAUAGAACACAAAGCCAAAGCCCAAAGGGGUUAAACAACGGGCCUCAGUUGUCUGGUGCACACCAAUGGAGUUUAUCUUGAAGCCUUCAGCGGGCGUUGGACGAGAAAGGUUACUACCAUCUCCCAUGUGACAUUGACCUUGUGUGGAGCUGCCACCUGUGCUGGAAUAACAAAAACAAGUUCAAUUGGCCAAACCAGCGUGUAAACAAACAUACGUGUCUCUUGGUGAUCCCAAACUGUAGGGGCAGAAGUGCCACGGUGACCCUGAGUCCUGCUUCCCGGACACACACAUUCAUGCUGCCGUUAGACCGUAUGUUUAACUGAGCACAAGGUGAGCACUGGCCGCCUGUUUGAAGACUUCUAAUAUGGUGUAAAUACAGGAAAACAAUUGUGUCCAUGAAGAUGCUUUCGCUGCAAGUAGCAGAAAUCCUGACUUAAGCUGGUUUUUUAAAAAAAUAAGGCGAUUUAUUGUCUCAAAUGACAGGAAGUUUAGAAGUAAGAUGCGCUUUGAGGCUGGCUGAUUCAAGGAUUUAACAAUGUCAUUGGGGCCCCAGAUUAUUUCCAUCUCUCUCCACUGCUGUUGAUAGCAUCGGCUUCGUUUUGCAACCGCGGCCAAUACUGGAGCGUUAGGUUUCCUUCUUCUGGUUAAACGGGAGAGAGAAACAAUGGGCGUCCACCAAUGGGAUCAAGUCCUUCCCUUCCAUCUGAUUGGCCCAACUUGGGCCCCCUGCCCCAUCCCUGGACUACUUACUAACCAUCAUCAGAGAAAUGGCGAGCGUGGAUUGGUUUCGAAUAUCAGAUAUGACCUCACACCUGUCAGAACGGCUAAAACGAACAACUCAGGAAACAACAGAUGUUGGCGAGGAUGUGGAGAAAGGGGGACCCUUUUGCACUGCUAGUAGGAAUGCAAACUGGUGCGGCCACUCUGGAAAACACUAUGGAGGUUCCUCAAAAAAAUAAAAAUAGAACUACCCUACGACUCAGCCAUUGCACUACUAGGUAUUUAUCCAAAGGAUACAGAAAUGCUGAUUCGAAGGAGCACGUCCACAAUGCUUAUAGCAGUGCUAUCGACAAUAGCUAAAUUAUGGAAAGAGCCCAAAUGUGCAUCAACUGGCGAAUGGAUAAAGCAGAUGUGGUAUAUAUAUAUAUACAAUGGAGUAUUACUCGGCAAUCAAAAAGAAUGAAAUCUUUCCAUUUGCAACUACGUGGAUGGAACUAGAGUGAAUUACGCGAAGUGAAAUGAGUCAGUGCAAGAAAGACAAGUACCAUAUGAUUUCACUCAUAUGUGGAAUUUCAGAAGCAAAACAGAUGAACCUAGGGGAAAGGAAACAAAAAUAAGAUAAAAACAGAGAGGGCGACAAACCAUAAGAGACUCUGAAAGACAGAGAACAAACUGCAUAUUCCUGGAGGGGUGCUGGGUGGGGGGGAUGGACUAAAUGGGUGAUGGGCACUUGGUGGGAUGGGCACUGGGUGUUAUAUGUAAGUGAUGAAUCACUAAAUUCUACUCCCGAAACCAGUACUAUAUUAUAUGUUAACUAACUUGGAUUUAAAUUUUUAAAAAUUAAAAAAAAAAAAUCAGCAUCCAUUCUUGGAGCUGGAGACGA